GUGCUUGCUUUGGCAGCACAUAUGCUAAAAUUGGAACGAUACAGAGAAGAUUAGCAUGGCCCCUGCACAAGGAUGACAGGGAAAUUUGUGAAAUUUUUGAAUUUUAU